rnacentral:rRNA from 1 species
AUGAGACGGCGCACUUCGACAAGAUCAUGGUGCGGCUCAAGAAGCUCAGCUGGGCUCAGCCAGGAGCACUGCGACCCCGUGUUCGUCACGCAGAAGGUCUGCGUCAGGGUAUACAUGGGCAUCACCACCAGCCAGCUCGACGAGCUCGCCGCCGAGACCGCCGCCGCGCUCACCGCCUCCCAGCCUGACUAUGCCUCCGUACCUUCCCUCUUUCGAUAUGUCUCUCCCCUUCUGCUCGUGGCGAGGAUUGCUGUGUCCAACCUGCCGCCAAGUGGAAAUAGUCUGUGUGGCGCUCGUAAAUAG